rnacentral:rRNA from 1 species
UACGUAGGUGGCAAGCGUUGUCCGGAAUUAUUGGGCGUAAGCGCGCGCAGGCGGUCCUUUAAGUCUGAUGUGAAAGCCCACGGCUCAACCGUGGAGGGUCAUUGGAAACUGGGGGACUUGAGUACAGAAGAGAAGAGUGGAAUUCCACGUGUAGCGGUGAAAUGCGUAGAGAUGUGGAGGACACCAGUGGCGAAGGCGGCUACCUGGACC